rnacentral:rRNA from 1 species
GACGAAGGGGGCUAGCGUUGUUCGGAAUUACUGGGCGUAAAGCGCGUGUAGGCGGUUGUUCAAGUCAGGUGUGAAAGCCUUGAGCUCAACUCAAGAAAUGCACUUAAUACUGGAUGACUAGAGGACCGGAGAGGAUAGUGGAAUUCCCAGUGUAGUGGUGAAAUACGUAGAGAUUGGGAAGAACACCAGUGGCGAAGGCGGCUAUCUGGACGGUUUCUGACGCUAAGACGCGAAAGCGUGGGGAGCAAACAGG